rnacentral:rRNA from 1 species
AGAGUUUGAUCCUGGCUCAGGAUGAACGCUGGCGGCGUGCCUAAUACAUGCAAGUCGAGCGAACCACUUCGGUGGGAAGCGGCGAACGGGUGAGUAACACGUAGGUGAUCUGCCCAUCAGACGGGGACAACGAUUGGAAACGAUCGCUAAUACCGGAUAGGACGAAAGUUUAAAGAUGCUCCUGGCAUCACUGAUGGAUGAGCCUGCGGCGCAUUAGCUAGUUGGUGGGGUAAAGGCCUACCAAGGCGACGAUGCGUAGCCGACCUGAGAGGGUGAACGGCCACACUGGGACUGAGACACGGCCCAGACUCCUACGGGAGGCAGCAGUAGGGAAUCUUCGGCAAUGGGCGAAAGCCUGACCGAGCAACGCCGCGUGAAUGAAGAAGGCCUUCGGGUUGUAAAAUUCUGUUAUAAGGGAAGAAAGGUGAUAGGAGGAAAUGACUAUCAAUUGACGGUACCUUAUGAGAAAGCCACGGCUAACUACGUA